rnacentral:lncRNA from 1 species
CUCCUCUGCAAGUUCAAACCUUCUCCCCAUCACGGGCAGCUGCCGCAGCAGGACCAAGAGGUGUUUUCCGCCGUAUGCCCAGAUCUGAGCUCACUUACAGCCACAUAGCUGGAGAGGGUAUUUGUGCAGCAGAAUAGCUGGUAGCUAUUGUGGUAUAAAUGGGCUCUGCAGUCUGCUCAGCCUUACAGGUAAGUACCUGCCUGCUUAACAAGCUGCUGUUUUGGAGCAAUUUGGGGGAUCAUCUUGCAUUGCAAUAGUCCAGGCUUAAAAGCUUUGAUGUCUCUGCGAUAGAAGCUUCUGUUCAAGACAGAUUUUUUUUUCUCUGUUAUUAUUACAAAGAUGCAUGAAGAAGUCCUACAAUGUUUAACUUAUUUUUUUUUGACCUGUGAGGGAGCUUUAUGAUAGCCUUGUUCAUGCCUGCCAAGAGGACCAGUGCAGUGGAUCGGGAGCUUCCUCUACCAUUUGCUGAAGAGCCCUAGGACCAGGCUGUAAGGCUUUGGACAUAAUAAACUCUAUGACCUCUUCGUGGGAAUUAAAGGAAUUCUUCCCCACUUUUCAGACAAAAGGAACUGCUUAUCUUCAGCUCUCUGGGAAACAUGUCCUCAGCUGCGGGAGAACAAGAGGCUGUGAAUUUGAUAGGAAGACGGCUGAUGCUGUAAAGGGGAAGCUAUGGCCCAUGAGUGGACUGCCUCUAAUCCUUGGGCUCAGACUACACAGCGAUGCCUAAGAAGCCCUGGGCUGCUGACAGGAGAAAGAAAUUCUUCAGCUCAAACCCAAGGGACUUUGCUUCUUGAGCAGGAGGAGACAAAUCCCACAUCAGUGCUGCCUGCAAAGAUUGCUCUGGCAAUAUUAUGAGAGAGACUAAGGAAGACUUUUUGAAAGUGUUUCAGAAUACGCACACGUCCAUGUGUAUGUAGGUAGCAUAUAUAUAAUGCGUAUAUGGAAUGUGGGUGCAUAUGUGUGUGCAUGCGUCUAUAAAACAUCAGACUGACAAUGGAAGUUUGUCUCUAAGAAACGUGUUUUUUUUCAGAUGCGGUUUGGUGAUGUAGUAGGCCUGAUUAUCUGCCGAAACUGAAGAGUUAAAAUUGUUGCAUGCUGUGCAAAGGAUUUUUAUAUCAUUAUAUUAAUCUUAAAUUAAUUUUAAUAACUUUAUUAGAUUUACUUAGGUAUCUGCUUUGUUUGCUAGAUUGGAUUAUCCAUUAUAAGGACUAGAUUUCCCUCAAAUGUGGGGAUACGCAUGUUGCUAUAGCUACCCUGGUGCUGGCUAUUUAUUCUGUAAAGCAGGAAAGCAGGAGUUCUGAACAGCCUUCCUGUUCCAGCAUCUGAAACUAUCCGUCCACAGUUUUUGUAUUCACGUGGAUCUUGCAUUUAAGUAAAUCAGAUGGCAGGAGUUUUUGUUUCAUUUGCCUCUAGAGAAAUUGCAAAGACAUUCAUCUGAGGACAUUUGAACUUCAUUUAGGUACAAGAAGGGACAUAAGAUGUUCAAAGAGCACCUUUGAAAUUAAGAAUUCACAAAAGGGACAGUGGUGAGACCCUGGGGAAGCCCUCCUCUGCAAGAAAUGGCUAGAAGAAAAGUAAAGAGGAAAAAAGCAAAAGCUAAAAUGCAGCAGAGGAAAGCUCAGCAGCUGGAGAAUUAUCUAAAAGGGCCAUCUACACUGAAAUCCUGGAGGUGGGGAACACACAGCUUUCUGUGUUUGCUCUCUCUCUGGCAGAAGACAUUACUGGAACUUGAUCCCUGCUAGAAGCAGGGGAGAAAUCUAACCUGAGGUUCAACUUCCCCAUCCAAAUCAUCACUAUAAAGUAUCCCCCGGAGAUGCUCUCUGAAUUCCAAGGGUGCAUUUAACACUGCCUACCUGUCCAGGGUCAUACUCCAGUCUGAGUUCACCUAGAAACUUCUGAUGGUUGUGUUCAGAUGUGAAUCUAGGGGAGAGUGGAGGGGAAUACAGGGGGGUGGGUGAGAGAAGGUAUGAGGAGGACAAAACAUGUUUUGUGACUAUAGUGCAUACAGAAUGGAUGCAAUUUAAACACCUUGGAGAUGACCAUCUAUCCCAUCUGGCCUUUAGGCCACGUGUCUAAGCAAUCCUUUCUUUGUACAUGGCUCUUCAUGUUACUUGACCUAGAAGCAAGCAGAGCAUACAGCUCAGAGUUUCUUAUGCAAUGUGGAUACCAACAGCCUGACCGAGAAGCACUGUGGAGGUGGUGGCACAAAUGCAGAGAGUGAGGUCAGGGGGCACAUCAGACUUUCCCUAUUUUUGCUUGACAAGCCGUGUAGACAUAGCCUAGAAUUAUCACCGUCCUCUGCUCCAUCGACAUCUCUGGUAUUUCCUCCAGGCCCUGCAACUGGCAGCACUGGAUUCUUAUUUUACCUGGCAUCUGUUGUUUCCUUCAGACCAAAUGGUAGCCAGUGUGUCUCAUACACUUUAAUAUCAUAUUAGCAAAGCCUCAAAAUAUGUUCGAACACUGGGAAUGUGGUUUCCUAAGGUUACACGUUGUCUCCUGUUUUAAAGCCCAGUUCAAGCUUUUUGUGGGAAAUAAAUAAAAUAGAGGGAGAAGUUUCUACCCA